rnacentral:rRNA from 1 species
AGCUUGCUCCGCUGACGAGUGGCGAACGGGUGAGUAAUAUAUCGGAACGUACCCAAGAGUGGGGGAUAACGUAGCGAAAGUUACGCUAAUACCGCAUACGAUCCAAGGAUGAAAGCAGGGGACCUUCGGGCCUUGUGCUCCUGGAGCGGCCGAUAUCUGAUUAGCUAGUUGGUGAGGUAAAGGCUCACCAAGGCGACGAUCAGUAGCUGGUCUGAGAGGACGACCAGCCACACUGGAACUGAGACACGGUCCAGACUCCUACGGGAGGCAGCAGUGGGGAAUUUUGGACAAUGGGCGCAAGCCUGAUCCAGCAAUACCGCGUGAGUGAAGAAGGCCUUCGGGUUGUAAAGCUCUUUUGUCAGGGAAGAAACGGCUGUGGCUAAUAUCCACGGCUAAUGACGGUACCUGAAGAAUAAGCACCGGCUAACUACGUGCCAGCAGCCGCGGUAAUACGUAGGGUGCAAGCGUUAAUCGGAAUUACUGGGCGUAAAGCGUGCGCAGGCGGUUUUGUAAGUCUGUCGUGAAAUCCCCGGGCUCAACCUGGGAAUUGCGAUGGAGACUGCAAGGCUAGAAUCUGGCAGAGGGGGGUAGAAUUCCACGUGUAGCAGUGAAAUGCGUAGAGAUGUGGAGGAACACCGAUGGCGAAGGCAGCCCCCUGGGUCAAGAUUGACGCUCAUGCACGAAAGCGUGGGGAGCAAACAGGAUUAGAUACCCUGGUAGUCCACGCCCUAAACGAUGUCUACUAGUUGUCGGGUUUUAAUUAACUUGGUAACGCAGCUAACGCGUGAAGUAGACCGCCUGGGGAGUACGGUCGCAAGAUUAAAACUCAAAGGAAUUGACGGGACCCGCACAAGCGGUGGAUGAUGUGAUUAGUUCGAUGCACGCGAAAA